UACGAAGGGUGCAAGCGUUACUCGGAAUUACUGGGCGUAAAGCGCACGUAGGCGGCUUAGCAAGUCGGAAGUGAAAUCCCUCGGCUCAACCAAGGAAGUGCUUUCGAAACUGCUGAGCUUGAGUACUAAAGAGGAUCGCGGAAUUCCCGGUGUAGAGGUGAAAUUCGUAGAUAUCGGGAGGAACACCAGUGGCGAAGGCGGCGAUCUGGGUAGAUACUGACGCUGAGGUGCGAAAGCGUGGGGAGCAAACAGG
rnacentral:rRNA from 1 species